AUGAUCAGGCAGGUGGUUUUCCCAGGGCGAGGCUCAUCCCUUGCACUCCGGGUGUGCUGACCCCUGCGAUUUCCCCAAAUGCGGGAAACUCGACUGCAUAAUUUGUGGUAGUGGGGGACUGCGUUCGCGCUCUCCCCUG
rnacentral:snRNA from 1 species